GGGGGCGUUCCGGUUUCGACAGGGGCUCUUGAAGGCAGUACGGCGUGUCGAGGUAGCCCAUGGCCUCGUAAAAAUGGGCAAAGCCAUAACUGGCAACGUCCGUAGCAACAGCUACGCCCUCGCUGCUUAAGCCAGCGACGUUCUUCAGAAGCCCAGCCGAUGGCGUACUGAAUGAACGAUCCAAAGUCGGCUAGCUCGAGGCAAGGCUCCGUAGCCAAGAGCGAACCCUUCGCGGAGCUUGGUUCAGGCCCGCUGUUGGUGGCGCAAGCCUGAACGACAACUAAACACCAACUACACACGUAGAUGUCUGCUGGAUAGGCUUCUGGACGCGAGUUCGACUCUCGCCGCCUCCACCA
rfam:Meiothermus ruber DSM 1279 genome.